rnacentral:rRNA from 1 species
AUAAUCCGAAGACGUGAUGUGGAGCGAAAUAAAGUAGCAAAGCGUGUGAGCCAUGUGCCGAGAAAAGCUGCUAUUGUGUAAUGCGUGCCCGUACCGUAAACCGACACAGGUGGAUGAGGAGAGAAUCCUAAGGCCGACGGAAGAAGCAUUGUUAAGGAAUUCGGCAAAAUGACCCCGUAACUUCGGGAGAAGGGGUGCCUGCGAGAGCAGGCCGCAGAGAAUAGGCUCAAGCAACUGUUUAGCAAAAACACAGGUCUAUGCGAAACCGAAAGGUGAAGUAUAUGGGCUGACGCCUGCCCGGUGCUGGGAGGUUAAGAGGAGAGGUUAGCGUAAGCGAAGCUUUGAAUUUAAGCCCCAGUAAACGGCGGCCGUAACUAUAACGGUCCUAAGGUAGCGAAAUUCCUUGUCGGGUAAGUUCCGACCCGCACGAAAGGCGUAAUGAUUUGAGCACUGUCUCGACAAUGCAUCCGGUGAAAUUGAAGUACCAGUGAAGAUGCUGGUUACCCGCGCCAGGACGGAAAGACCCCAUGGAGCUUUACUCCAGUUUGAUACUGGGAUUCGGUACUGCAUGUACAGGAUAGGUGGGAGACGAAGAAGGAUGGACGCCAGUCUGUCCGGAGUCGCUGUUGGGAUACCACCCCUGUAGUACUGGGUUUCUAACCAGUUGCCAUGAACUGGCAAUGGGACAAUGUCAGGCGGGGAGUUUGACUGGGGCGGUCGCCUCCGAAAGGGUAUCGGAGGCGCUCAAAGGUUCCCUCAGAAUGGUUGGAAACCAUUUGAAGAGUGCAAAGGCAGAAGGGAGCUUGACUGCGACACCGACGGGUGGAGCAGGUACGAAAGUAGGACUUAGUGAUCCGGUGGUAUAAAGUGGGAUUGCCAUCGCUCAACGGAUAAAAGCUACCCUGGAUAACAGGCUUAUCACUCCCAAGAGUUCACACCGACGGAGUGGUUUGGCACCUCGAUGUCGGCUCAUCGCAUCCUGGGGCUGUAGCAGGUCCCAAGGGUUGGGCUGUUCGCCCAUUAAAGCGGUACGCGAGCUGGGUUCAGAACGUCGUGAGACAGUUCGGUCCCUAUCCGGCGCGGGCGGAGGAUACUUGAGAGGAGCUGUCCUUAGUACGAGAGGACCGGGAUGGACGGACCACUGGUGUAUCUGUUGCCGACCAACGGCAUGGCAGAGUAGCCAAGUCUGGAAGGGAUAAACGCUGAAGGCAUCUAAGCGUGAAGCCCCCCUCAAGAUGAGAUAUCCCUCCUUCGGGAGUAAGACCCCUUGAAGACUACAAGGUAGAUAGGGCAGAGGUGGAAGCAUGGCAACAUGUGGAGCUGACUGUUACUAAUAGGUCGAGGGCUUAGUAA